rnacentral:rRNA from 1 species
AUACGGAGGGUGCAAGCGUUGUCCGGAAUCAUUGGGUUUAAAGGGUCCGCAGGCGGUCAAUUAAGUCAGAGGUGAAAUCCCGUCGCUCAACGACGGAACUGCCUUUGAUACUGGUUGACUUGAGUUAUACGGAAGUAGAUAGAAUGUGUAGUGUAGCGGUGAAAUGCAUAGAUAUUACACAGAAUACCGAUUGCGAAGGCAGUCUACUACGUAUAUACUGACGCUCAUGGACGAAAGCGUGGGGAGCGAACAGGAUUAGAAACCCCAGUAGUCC